AUGCAUGAUAUACAAUCCCCUAUACAGGAACCAUCUAAAAACCUGAUCAAGGUCCACCCCUGUCACUAUCUGCUGAUCACCUCGGUCAAAGGGUCAGUCAGCCUAGAACACCUAACCUCCCUGAAGGGCAGGAAUGAAAGAAGUUUCCAGCUAAUUACCAGCCAGAACUUCAGGCAAUGGUCCUGGGCAUGGAGAGAGGAAAGCAAGGCUACCCAACUAAUGAUCCACCAUCCCUUGGAGGGGCGUGAGGAGAGACCUCCUGCAGCAACUAAACAUCAAGCUGGUAUAAUUCCAGAAUCCAGCCCGGAAAUACUACAAAUCCAGUGCCCUCCAGCUCAUAAAAGGGCAGUGAUGCGGUACCCUCAGCGAUCUGAUUCAGGGAUAGCGUCAGUGGGUGUCUUUGUUUUUCCCACAAGGCAAGAACAUUCCCCUGGAUGAUUCUUGUGGAAAGUUGGAGAACCAUGGAGUUACACUAAUUCUUUCUUAAUGGUGACUUUUCAGAAGUUCUUCUAAUGAAGAACCCUGGGGAUCCCUGGGUGACUCUGUGGUUUAGCGCCUGCCUUUGGCCUGGGCUGUGAUCCUGGAGUCCUGGGAUCGAGUCCCACAUCAGGCUCCCUGCGUGGAGCCUGCUUCUCCCUCUGCCUUUGUCUCUGCCUCUCUCUGUGUGUCUCUCAUGAAUAAAUAAAUAAAAUCUUAAAAAAAAAAAAAAGAA
rnacentral:lncRNA from 1 species